rnacentral:rRNA from 1 species
UGAUCCUGGCUCAGGACGAACGCUGGCGGCGUGCCUAAUACAUGCAAGUCGAGCGGACCCUUCGGGGUUAGCGGCGGACGGGUGAGUAACACGUAGGCAACCUGCCUGUAAGACUGGGAUAACUACCGGAAACGGUAGCUAAGACCGGAUAAGUGAUUCUCUCGCAUGAGAGGAUCAAGAAACACGGGGCAACCUGUGGCUUACAGAUGGGCCUGCGGCGCAUUAGCUAGUUGGUGGGGUAACGGCUCACCAAGGCGACGAUGCGUAGCCGACCUGAGAGGGUGAUCGGCCACACUGGGACUGAGACACGGCCCAGACUCCUACGGGAGGCAGCAGUAGGGAAUCUUCCGCAAUGGACGCAAGUCUGACGGAGCAACGCCGCGUGAGUGAUGAAGGUUUUCGGAUCGUAAAGCUCUGUUGCCAGGGAAGAACGUCGUGGAGAGUAACUGCUCUGCGAAUGACGGUACCUGAGAAGAAAGCCCCGGCUAACUACGUGCA